rnacentral:pre_miRNA from 1 species
CCUUAUCAUUCACCAGUCCGGUUAGAUUUUUUGGAAAGUUCCUUUUUCUUGGUUGCACCAAGAUUUAAGUUGAACACCCUACUGGACGGAGAACUGAUAAGGGC